rnacentral:rRNA from 1 species
UGCGGUAUCCUGACCGUGCUAAGGUAGCAUAAUCAUUUGCCUUCUAAUUAAAGGCUUGUAUGAAUGGACACACGAAAAUUACACUGUCUCCUUUAAGUAAAUAAAAAUUAAUCUCUCUGUGAAAAAGCAGACAUAUAACUAAAGGACAAAAAGACCCUAUAGAACUUUAUUAAAUUGAUUUUAUUAAAAAUUAAUAUAAAUACAUAAAAUUAACAUAAUUUAGUUGGGGCGACUAAGGAAUAACCAUAUCUUCCUUUAUACAUGAGGCUUAUAAGCCCCACACAUGACCCAUUUAAUGUUCACAAGACUAGUUACCUUAGGGAUAACAGACUAAUCCCCCUUAAGAGCCCAUAUUGACAGGGGGGUUUGGCACCUCGAUGUUGGCUUAGGAA